CCUACGGGAGGCAGCAGUAGGGAAUUUUCGGCAAUGGGGGGAACCCUGACCGAGCAACGCCGCGUGAAGGAAGAAGGAAUUCGUUCUGUAAACUUCUGUUAUAAAGGAAGAAAGGCGGAUGAAGGAAAUGACAUCCGAGUGACGGUACUUUAUGAGAAAGCCACGGCUAACUACGUGCCAGCAGCUGCGGUAAUACGUAGGUGGCAAGCGUUAUCCGGAAUUAGUGGGCGUAAGGAGGGAGCAGGCGGCAGCAAAGGUCUGUGGUGAAAGAGUGAAGCUUAACUUCAGUAAGCCAGAGAAACCAGGCAGCGAGAGUGCGGGAGAGGAUCGUGGAAUUCCAGGUGUAGCGGUGAAAUGCGUAGAUAUAUGGAGGAACACCAGUGGCGAAGGCGACGAUCUGGCCUGUAACUGACGCUCAGUCCCGAAAGCGUGGGGAGCAAAUAGGAUUAGAUACCCGAGUAGUC
rnacentral:rRNA from 1 species